CCUACGGGAGGCAGCAGUGAGGAAUAUUGGUCAAUGGACGAGAGUCUGAACCAGCCAAGUAGCGUGAAGGAUGACUGCCCUAUGGAUUGUAAACUUCUUUUAUAUGGGAAUAAAAUGUUCCACGUGUGGGAUUUUGUAUGUACCAUAUGAAUAAGGAUCGGCUAACUCCGUGCCAGCAGCCGCGGUAAUACGGAGGAUCCGAGCGUUAUCCGGAUUUAUUGGGUUUAAAGGGAGCGUAGGUGGAUUGUUAAGUCAGUUGUGAAAGUUUGCGGCUCAACCGUAAAAUUGCAGUUGAAACUGGCAGUCUUGAGUACAGUAGAGGUGGGCGGAAUUCGUGGUGUAGCGGUGAAAUGCUUAGAUAUCACGAAGAACUCCGAUUGCGAAGGCAGUUCACUGGACUGCAACUGACACUGAGGCUCGAAAGUGUGGGUAUCAAACAGGAUUAGAUACCCGAGUAGUC
rnacentral:rRNA from 1 species